rnacentral:rRNA from 1 species
GACGAACGCCGGCGGCGUGCUUAACACAUGCAAGUCGAACGAAGAGCGAUGGAAGCUUGCUUCUAUCAAUCUUAGUGGCGAACGGGUGAGUAACGCGUAAUCAACCUGCCCUUCAGAGGGGGACAACAGUUGGAAACGACUGCUAAUACCGCAUACGAUCUAACCUCGGCAUCGAGGAUAGAUGAAAGGUGGCCUCUACAUGUAAGCUAUCACUGAAGGAGGGGAUUGCGUCUGAUUAGCUAGUUGGAGGGGUAACGGCCCACCAAGGCGAUGAUCAGUAGCCGGUCUGAGAGGAUGAACGGCCACAUUGGGACUGAGACACGGCCCAGACUCCUACGGGAGGCAGCAGUGGGGAAUCUUCCGCAAUGGACGAAAGUCUGACGGAGCAACGCCGCGUGAGUGAUGACGGCCUUCGGGUUGUAAAGCUCUGUUAAUCGGGACGAAAGGCCUUCUUGCGAAUAGUGAGAAGGAUUGACGGUACCGGAAUAGAAAGCCACGGCUAACUACGUG